GUGAAGAACGUAGCGAAAUGCGAUAAGUAAUGUGAAUUGCAGAAUUCAGUGAAUCAUCGAAUCUUUGAACGCACAUUGCGCCCGCCAGUAUUCUGGCGGGCAUGCCUGUUCGAGCGUCAUUACAACCCUCAGGCCCCCGGGCCUGGCGUUGGGGAUCGGCGGAAGCCCCCUGCGGGCACAACGCCGUCCCCCAAAUACAGUGGCGGUCCCGCCGCAGCUUCCAUUGCGUAGUAGCUAACACCUCGCAACUGGAGAGCGGCGCGGCCACGCCGUAAAACACCCAACUUCUGAAUGUUGACCUCGAAUCAGGUAGGAAUACCCGCUGAACUUAAGCAUAUCAAUAAGCGGAGGA
rnacentral:misc_RNA from 1 species